GGGAUAUAGCUCAGUUGGUAGAGCUCCGCUCUUGCAAUCCCUGUGGCGGAUGUCAGCGGUUCGAGUCCGCUUAUCUCCAA
rnacentral:tRNA from 2 species